GUAAUACUGUUCUUAAUGCUUCACAGUUAAAGAAAGUAGGGACUAUUGUCUAUUUAACAAUGAAAACAAACCAGGUUCUACCAGUUUUUCUAAUGUUUGUCUGGCAGACCUAAAUUCUACAUAGCUGGUUCUGAGAGGAAGCCAGUUUAAAUAGCAGAACUGUUUUCUUAUCUGACAGGACGUAAGUUGGGUAACUGGUUCAUCUGUGCAUUCUUGCCCCAACUUAAAGAUUUAGAAAACUAAAUGGUGUCAAUCUGUCACUGCCAGUCUUACAGUAAAUGUCUCAGAGGGUAUAAUGGGUUUCCUGCUCAAACAUAAGCUCUGCUGGUAGCUGUGGAUCUUGCCUGUGAGUACUUCACUGGGUAGUCGUCACGCUCCUCCUUGGGUGGGCAGGAGCUGCAGAGGAGACCCCCUCCCAGGAUCAGGAGCCCUGCGGUGCCCCAGCCGAUGUAUAGCGAGGCCCCCAGCUCCCUCCUCUGGGCCUCGACCAACAGGGGGUUGUAGAAAUCCCUGAUGAUGGUGUUGGCGGACCAGCAGACAGGGACGAGGAUGAGGACGCCAGCCACGAUGAAAAUGAUCCCACUGGCAAUGGCUACUUUAGCUUUGGAAGCCUCAUCCUCCACG
rnacentral:lncRNA from 1 species